ACGGAAGAACCGAAAAUCCAGAAUAGAGUAGGAA
rnacentral:ncRNA from 1 species